rnacentral:rRNA from 1 species
GACGAACGCUGGCGGCGUGCUUAACACAUGCAAGUCGAACGGAAAGGCCUGCUUUCCCUUGUGGAUUGCGGGUACUCGAGUGGCGAACGGGUGAGUAACACGUGAGUGAUCUGCCCCCAACUUGGGUAUAAGCCUGGGAAACUGGGUCUAAUUCCCGAUAGGACUGCAGGGUGGUGCCUGUGGUGGAAAACGAUUUUCUAGUGGUUGGGGAUGAGCUCGCGGCCUAUCAGCUUGUUGGUGGGGUAAUGGCCUACCAAGGCGGCGACGGGUAGCCGGCCUGAGAGGGUGGACGGCCACAUUGGGACUGAGAUACGGCCCAGACUCCUACGGGAGGCAGCAGUGGGGAAUAGUGCACAAUGGGCGGAAGCCUGAUGCAGCGACGCCGCGUGGGGGAUGACGGCCUUCGGGUUGUAAACUCCUCUCGACCGCGAGGAAGCCACCUGGUUGGAAGGGUGGUGACGGUAGUGGUAGAAGAAGCACCGGCUAACUACGUG